AACACAUGCAAGUCGAACGGAGUGCCCAUGACAGAGGUUCCGGCCAAUAGAUUGGGUUACUUAGUGGCGGACUGGUGAGUAACGCGCGAGGAACCUGCCUUUCAGAGGGGGACAACAGCUGGAAACGGCUGCUAAUACCGCAUGACAUAUAUUGAGGGCAUCCUUGAUAUAUCAAAGAUUUUUAUCGCUGAAAGAUGGCCUCGCGUCCGAUUAGAUAGUUGGCGGGGUAACGGCCCACCAAGUCGACGAUCGGUAGCCGGACUGAGAGGUUGACCGGCCACAUUGGGACUGAGAUACGGCCCAGACUCCUACGGGAGGCAGCAGUGGGGAAUAUUGGGCAAUGGACGCAAGUCUGACCCAGCAACGCCGCGUGAAGGAAGAAGGCUUUCGAGUUGUAAACUUCUUUUAAGGGGGAACAGUAGAAGAGGGUACCCCUUGAAUAAGCCACGGCUAACUACGUG
rnacentral:rRNA from 1 species